GGCCAGCGGGAUUUCACUCUCAUGGUGAAAUGGAUUUCUGCCGAUAUGCAGUAAAGGAGUGAAGAGCGGUGAAAUCUGUGUCAACAAAAAUUUGGUGGGCACUGUCAUCUGUGAUAUGACUGUCUUUAAGCAGAGAAUACUUCAAAAUGAGAAGAUCCUGCCAUGGAAAAGACGACUGGGUGGACAUAAAGUGGAAAGGAGGGGAAAUAACUCCCACCAUGCAGCAGGACACCUUCAGCUGUGGGGUCUUUGUAAUAUGGCCAAGGAAGUUGCACAGAACUUCCCCAACAUCCCAAAUUGAUAUGGAACCUUCAAAAAACACAUGGAGCAACUGCAGAAAUAAAUGGCUGAGGAUAUACUAAAAAUGUCUGAGUUCAACAAAGCCUGCUUCAUGUGUGCCACUGAUGAAGAACCUGGAAGUGGCCCAGACUGACAGGAUUGAAUGUUUUGCCUGCCAACGGGGGUUCCAUGUGCUGUGCCUCGGAAUGAAGACCAAAGAGUUCACCAGAGUAAAGAACACAAAC